AUGUCGUCGUUGUUCUAUCAGGAGGAGAGCACCGUCACCAUCACCCAACCGUCCUCCCCCCCUGAUUGUUUCAGGUUGCUCUCUCUCUCUCUCUCUCUCUCUCUCUCUCUCUCUAAUGUCAACUUGGUUACCUCUUAUUUUACAGAUUGGAAGUGGCUUGCACACAUAAAUCCAAGCAAGUUGACGGGAGGAUUCAUCUGUGCAUUUGAGCUACAGGGAGACUCCUGCAGCAGUUGGGCUCUGGUACGGCAAGUUCUGCAAUGCGGGGUGGAGCGGCUAUGGAGGGAGGACCCCUGCGAUGACCUCGAUGCCUGCUGCAGCGACCAUGACCACUGCAUCAAAAAGGAAGGUACUAACUAA
rnacentral:rRNA from 1 species